GGGAUCCCCAGUAUCCCUCAGUUUCCUGGGAUCACCCCAGCUCCCUGGCUCCAUGGGAUCCCUCAGCUUCCUGGGGUUCCCCAGCUCCCCGGCUCCAUGGGAUCCCUCAGCUUCCUGGGAUCCCCAGGAUCCCUCAGUUUCCUGGGGUCCCCCAGCUCCAUGGGAUCCCUCAGUUUCCUGGGGUUCCCCAGCUCCCUGGCUCCAUGGAUCCCUCAGUUUCCUGGGAUUCCCCCAGCUCCAUGGGAUCCCUCAGCUUCCUGGGGUUCCCCAGCUCCCCAGCUCCAUGGGAUCCCUUAGUUUCCUGGGAUCACCCCAGCUCCAUGGAUCCCCAGGAUCCCUCAGUUUCCUGGGGUUCCCCCAGCUCCAUGGGAUCCCUCAGCUUCCUGGGGUUCCCCAGCUCCCCAGCUCCAUGGGAUCCCUCAGCUUCCUGGGACCCC
rnacentral:lncRNA from 1 species